UACGUAGGGGGCAAGCGUUGUCCGGAAUUAUUGGGCGUAAAGAGCGUGUAGGCGGUCCGGUAAGUCAGCUGUGAAAGUCAAGGGCUCAACCCUUGAAUGCCGGUUGAUACUGUCGGGCUAGAGUCCGGAAGAGGCGAGUGGAAUUCCCGGUGUAGCGGUGAAAUGCUUAGAUAUGACAUAGAACACCAAUUGCGAAGGCAGCUCACUACACAAUCAUUGACUCUGAGGCACGAAAGCGUGGGGAUCAAACAGG
rnacentral:rRNA from 1 species